CAGUAGCCACGGGAAUACGGAGGGUGCAAGCGUUAAUCGGAAUUACUGGGCGUAAAGCGCACGCAGGCGGUCUGACAAGUCAGAUGUGAAAUCCCCGGGCUUAACCUGGGAACUGCAUUUGAAACUGUCAGGCUGGAGUCUUGUAGAGGGGGGUGGAAUUCCAGGUGUAGCGGUGAAAUGCGUAGAGAUCUGGAGGAAUACCGGUGGCGAAGGCGGCCCCCUGGACAAAGACUGACGCUCAGGUGCGAAAGCGUGGGGAGCAAACAGGAUUAGAUACACGUGUAGUCCCUGUCUCUUAUCC
rnacentral:rRNA from 1 species